GGAAUCACUGGGCGUAAAGGACGCGUAGGCGGAUUAUCAAGUCUCUUGUGAAAUCCUAUGGCUUAACCAUAGAACUGCUUGGGAAACUGAUAAUCUAGAGUGAGGGAGAGGCAGAUGGAAUUGGUGGUGUAGGGGUAAAAUCCGUAGAGAUCACCAGGAAUACCCAUUGCGAAGGCGAUCUGCUGGAACUCAACUGACGCUAAUGCGUGAAAGCGUGGGGAGCAAACAGGAUUAGAUACCCUGGUAGUCCACGCCCUAAACGAUGUAUACUAGUUGUUGCUAAGCUAGUCUUGGCAGUAAUGCACCUAACGGAUUAAGUAUACCGCCUGGGGAGUACGGUCGCAAGAUUAAAACUCAAAGGAAUAGACGGGGACCCGCACAAGCGGUGGAGCAUGUGGUUUAAUUCGAAGAUACGCGAAGAACCUUACCCGGACUUGAUAUC
rnacentral:rRNA from 1 species